AGGCGAAAGAGAGACAGCCAGUAAACCGAAGAGGCGCGUUGUGUAGCUUGAUUGCAGGGUGCCGCACGGUGUUUGCUUUAUAAAUCGUGCCUUGAACCACAAGAGAAUAAGAAGAGAGUACGGAUGCUGUGCUCGAAACGAAGUAUCUUUGUGCGAAGGCUGGCGAGGCCAGUACGGUGGAGAGUAUCCGAUUGAAUAUUGUGCUACGUAAGAGACUCCAGAUAAAGGAUAUUUUAUUAUUACAAAUCACUGGGUUGCUCACCAAGAUGAUGCGCCAGAGAGUCGAAACGAAACCGCGAUCCCGUUGAUGCUAAGGAUGAAAUUAUUGACGAUAGAAGAUCAGUCUCUCAUGAAAACAAGCUUCUGUGAUGUUGGUUGUAGUAUGUGAUUCUUGAGUAUUCAAUCAGUAAGAGAACGGUGACGACUGCAAUUUGUACAGAAAAUGAGGAC